CUGACUAGAAAGGCAGAAAGGAGCAAUUGGUCACAUUGAUACCACCUCCUGCCAUCCUGUGAACUGAACAGUGGGGAGACUCACCCUGUGAGGGCUUAAGGGAGGCCUGGGGCCAAACACAUUGUGGAAUCAGCCCCUCCAAGAGCUCCAAGGAUCUGAGUCUACUAACAUCACAUGGCUGAUGGAGAAAUAGAUCCUCUCACAGAGUUGGCUGACUUGGUUAGAGACGCUGAGGGCCCAAAGCCUGGUCAACCCAGGAUAAGCCUUGAUUGAGGUUGUAGACUUACCAAGACAGAAAACCUACAGGAGGCGUGAGAAGUCAGUUCCAGGAGGCCGAGGCCGGAGGGACUCAAGUUCAAGGCCUGCUUGGACUCCAUCGAAUCGUGCCAACCCAGACAAGUUUGUAGGCUCCUGUCUCAAAAAUCAGAAAGUCAGUAAGAAAUCUGGAGAUGCAACUCAGCGGGAAGAUGCUGGCCUUGCACGGAUGAAACCCUAAAUGCACUCCCCAGUACAACGCAUGAACAAACAAACAUCAAAAGCCUUUGACCACACACAGUACCAAUAAAGAGAAGAGAACUAACUGUAUCUGGGUCUCGAGGCUUCUUUGAAACCCCACACAUGGUCAAUUUGACAUCACACUGGUAUUCUGCUUGAUCAAGUCUGACCAGUUUUUCCCUCUCAGUUAAAAGGGUUCUUCUCACUCUGCCCUGAUUUCUUACCACUAAGAACUGCUGUGGCCAAGGGUGUGUGUGGUCACAUGAGCACGCUAAGUUUAGCCUCAGUGGGCUCUCAAGGCCCCUCCCCUGCUCUCAGUCAAACUGAUCUAAUCACUGAC
rnacentral:lncRNA from 1 species